rnacentral:rRNA from 1 species
CACGUAGGGGGCAAGCGUUGUCCGGAUUUAUUGGGCGUAAAGAGCUCGUAGGCGGCUCAGCAAGUCGGGUGUGAAACCUCCAGGCUCAACCUGGAGACGCCACCCGAUACUGCUGUGGCUAGAGUCCAGUAGGGGAGCGUGGAAUUCCUGGUGUAGCGGUGAAAUGCGCAGAUAUCAGGAGGAACACCAGCGGCGAAGGCGGC